AUUGUUGCUAUAGAUCCUGCCAUACCUGAGGACAUGACCCGGAAGAAUAAGAUGCAUCUGAUAGAUGCCGGACUCUACCUAAACUCACCAUAUCCUUCAGUCCUGGGAAAAGCCAGGGACAUUGAUCUCAUCAUAUCCUUUGAUUUCAGUGACGGAGACCCUUUUGAGACUCUGAAGGUGGCCAGUGAGUAUGCAGCCGCCACAGGCCAUCCCUUCCCCAAAGUGGACUUUACGAAACUGGACCCUGAAUCAGCCAAGGUCCUACAAUGUCUUUGAGGAAAAGGGCAAACCAACUGUAAUUCACAUUCCCCUCUUCAACAUGGAUAACUGCAAAAAUCAAGAAACCAUUGAAAUGGAAAAGAGGAAAUACACAACCUUCCAACGGCCCUACCCAGACAAAGCAAUGAUUGAUGACUUGGCACAUCUGGCAGGACUAAAUGUGAGCAUGAACAAAGAUGACAUCGUGGAAGAGAUAAAAAAAGCUGUGCAGCGACGCCGUCGCCUCUGAAA